rnacentral:rRNA from 1 species
GAUGAACGCUGACAGAAUGCUUAACACAUGCAAGUCUUUGGCGAAGCUGUGCUUGAACAGCCUAGCCAAGGCGGACGGGUGAGUAACGCGUAAGGAACUUGCCCUGCAGUCAGGGAUAACAGACGGAAACGACUGAUAAGACCUGGUAAAGUCAGGCGGACUCAUGUCCAGCCUGAUGAAAAGAGAUGCUGCAGGAGAGCCUUGCGUCCUAUUAGCUUGUUGGUGGGGUAACGGCCCACCAAGGCGAUGAUAGGUAGCCGGCCUGAGAGGGUGGACGGCCACAAGGGGACUGAGAUACGGCCCUUACUCCUACGGGAGGAAGCAGUGGGGAAUAUUGGACGAUGGGGGCAACCCUGAUCCAGCAAUUCUGUGUGCACGAUGAAGGUUUUCGGAGUGUAAAGUGCUUUCAGCAGGGAAGAAAAAAAUGACGGUACCUGCAGAAGAAGCGACGGCUAACUACGUG